ensembl:lncRNA
GCUGCAGACUUUCUGUGGGGAUUUCCAGUUCACAUCGAAUAAGAGACACUAAGUGGAGAAAAUAAUGGAGUUGAUGGUAAAAGAAGAGAUGAGAAAGAAAAGUAAGAGUUUUCUUCUCUGCUUUCACCUGCUGACUCUUCUCCAACUCGCUGCGCCCUCUUCAGCUCAAAACAUCAGCACCGCCGCCACCACGUCAGCCGCUGACGGUUUCCGCACUCACCCAGCCGACGUCACAGUGGCAGUUGGAGAACCGGCCGUGUUUCGCUGUGGAGUUCCCGAAGCUUCUCCAGACUUCACAUUCACCUUGCGGGGGGCGCACGGAAACUACAUCCUCACGUGCCCCUCGGGCCACGUGGAAGACGUUCCCCAGGCUCUCUAUGGAAGUUGUGAGGUGAGAAAUGGAGAGUCAUCAGCUGUGUGGACCCUAAAGGGAACUUCUUUCUCCGACAACGGGACACAGGUCUCCUGUCAGCAGCCAAAGAAUCCUAAUAGCGCUGCUGGCGUGCUGCACGUCUACGAUAACGGCACCAGCCACGCCAUUCUCAUUGGUUGUAUCAUUGGGGGCUUCUUUGGCACGUUGUUGGUCUUCGGCUUACUGUACGUCAUGCUGCAGAGAUCUGAGAGGCUGCAGAAGUGCUUCUGGAGCGGAGAAACACCGGAGGAUUCGACCACAAUAGUAACAAAGGAGUAA